CAGUUGCAAAUAAGGUGCCGAAAGAAAUUCUUUAAUGGUGUAAUAUGUAGCGGCUUAAUGCUUUAAUGUAUGUCAUUGUUAAGUGAUAUCUUUAUGGAAGCCCAUAGUAAUUUACUGAAAUGUUUUGGUGAGGAGCUUAGCAUUCAGAAUGUGCUGGUUAGCAACAUCUUCAUUAGUUAAGUUGUCUUCUAUCAGUAGGAUAUAAGUAUGGCACUCAUAGAUCACGUGAUGUUGCACACAUAUGAAAGAACUCAUGCACCCAAGUUGUCCCAUAUUAUUAUCAUGUGGAUCCAGCUGUAUACUUGAUAGAUAAGCUGGAUGUGCAAGUUUUCUAGAAUAUGUAACUUCUGAAUAACAAGAAACUGGUUUCAAACGCUCCUUUUCAUUUGCUGUAUCAUAGUUAUCGGGUACCUAAGAAUUCUAUGUCGUGGAAGGUAAUGUCAAAAUACGUUUUUUUUGUGAUGAGCGCAAUUAAGAGUGUCAACACAAUAUUAAAACUAGAUUAAACAUUAGCUCUGACCAGAUGGCAAUAUAUUUUGUCAUAUUACAGGGCAGUUAAAGAGUGGAUGCCCAACUGCUCUGAUGUAGGCCGCUCCGAAUCAAUUAUCCGAUAUAUGGCGUCUCUUGAAGGUAACUAAGAAACCGGUGACCCAGUUUUUGUUGUGCCUGCAUUAUUUGCUAUGCCAGAAUACUUUCCAUUACCCAGUUCUACUUUGGUAUUUCCUUCUGCAUCGGCUUAUUAGAUUCCAACCUUACAUGUUCAUCUUGGAAAAGAUCUUACAUCAUAAUUUGGUGUCUCCAUUCAGUGCUAAUCAAUAAAAAAAAUUGUUGUUUCUUGUAAUGAUGAACAUUUUAUAGUUUUAGCAUAAUUAGAUGAUGAUAUUGUUAAAGGUUAACUGAUUUAUGAACAUACUUCCAUUAUUAUUCUGCAUAUCGCCAUUUCUUUUACUGUAUACACGCUUUCAAAAGUUGGCUAGGUAAUUGGUUCACACGUAGUGUGCAGUGACAUACCUCAUGCAAAUAUAAUCCACGAUAUUGUCUAUUUCUAUUGUGUGCUCACAUGAACACCGGAAUAUUUCACUAAAAUAUAUGCUUAGGCAGGUUCACUGGAUGAUAUGCAUCAUGGACCGUAGGUACUAUUUGGUUUAGUUUAAUACAAUCUGCUGAUAUUAAGGUAUAAUAACUGAAAACUUCCAGAGGUUAAUGGGAAGGCAGAAUUGAUAAGCAUAAGCAUAAGCAGCUAGAAAUGUUGUCUGCUUGUGAACAGAUAAAGCCAAAAAAGAAUGUGCCUUAUGAGUAUAAAAAUAGCACGCCAUAUGAGUAUAAGUAAGAAUACUAAUGAGCUUUCGCUCAUGCUUAUGAGCUGAUCCAUCUACUUAUAUAGAAUGAUGAGAUGUGAUCAUGCACGUGCAUUAUCCAAUUUCUUACUACUAAUUAGAUAAGUUCAGCUAUAACGGAGUUGGUAUCAUGCCCUUUUACAUUGUGUAAAUUGUUUGGUGUUCAAGAUAAAAUCAUGCUGUUUUUUUUCUCAUUUGAAUGUGAAUGACAUGAUGCGUGUUUCUGUGCUCGCUGGUCCUCUUUUGUCCUGACCAAUAUGAAUUUAUAGCAUUCCAUAUAUACAUAAUUAAUUUUUCCCAUUUAGAUAUCAUAUGAUUUUCCUUCUACCAAUACUACUAUUUAUGGUCUCAUGCCUCUCUGUCAGGAUUCUCAGUGGUCUCAUGCCUCUCUGUCAGGAUUCUCCCAAUUUGAAAGAGGUACACAAACGUUACUUUCUUUGUCAGGGUUUGUCUACAUUUAUCUUUAAGGCUACAACCUGGAGUCUCAUGGGGGUGUGAAGAUGAUACCUAAGUAAUCUAGGGCAUUGCUUUGUUAGGGGUUCACUUAUGUACAAGAAUGGCAUGUUCUUUCUUGUGUAAUAUAUCGUGGUUUUUUUCUGCUCAACACCAUCUAGACUAUGUAUCACUGUAACCUGCUUUAUGGUUUGGACCUGAGCGCUGGAGCAUGGUGCUGGACAGGGAACGAGUCCCUAAGACCGCUCUUUGGAAUUCCAAUAUAGAUGAAGAUAGAAGUGAAAUUUGAGGGCCAACAAAUAUGUUGUAUCGUGGAUGUCCCCCUUUACAUCAUUGUUUUAUGAAAUGCACUAAUGCUCCUGAAAGGUUGUUCUGAGUAUAUUUGUAUAUUUUUUACAACAAGUAUGAUUUGGUGUGAAGUUAUCCAAUGUCGUGUGAUGAACCUUGAUGUUUAGUAUUGAAUCAUUAGUAAGUGUUUAGUAACCUGCUUUUUUAGAUGUUACCUUUGUAGCGGAGUUGUUUUUGGCAUAACUUUAAUCUAUAUUGGGCAGUUGCCUUGCUUAUGCAUGGAUGUGCUGCAAACUUUGUUUUAGAUUAGGGCAUUGCUCUCUCAUGUUCUCCCUCUUGGUACUGAACUGGAUGGAAGUGGUUACCUUUCAUGGUCUCAUGAAUGUACUGAACAAUCUCACGACGAUGUUGAACUCGAUGAUGCCUUCUAUUAGAAAUGAAUGUUUC
rnacentral:lncRNA from 1 species